GCUGUGUGCUCUGUGGAGGCAGGGCAGCCUCCAGUCUGAGGGGGCAGAGAGAGAGAGGAAAGAGUUAGAGAGGGAGGGAGACAGAUAGAAAGACAAAGAAAGAGAGAGAGAGAGAGAGAGAGAGAGAGAGGGAGUUUCAGUUUCAAAGUUCACUCUGUCUGUCUGGAGGAGAGUAACCACUGACUCUCAUUACUUCUUCACUGGCACAGACACAUGCACAAAGGUAAAGUUUCUUAACGCCUCUGUUGUCAUUGUCGUUGUGCUCUCACUAAACUGUAAAUGUUACUCUGGUCUGAACUUUACCCCAUAAUUACCUUCUAUGUAAUACUUUCUAAUUGGACGCCAGUAGACCUGAACUUCUCCGGUUAUCAAGCACGACACCAGCGGUCAUGCUUGUAAUCAAACACUGCUUAAUCCACCUUAGCUGUACUUAAUGUGUGCCACUGAAGCUUAUAUCGUAGCCUCGCUUCAAUUUUGGGUAAACACUAUGAGAUGAUGAGAAAAAACCCAGGAAGAUGGGUAUAAGUUACUUGUGAUAAAGAAGAGGGCCCUCUGCAACCAGAGACUCAAUAUCAGAUAAAUCCAUCAUACAUUUUAGAUAACCAACUCUGUUCUAUUUCAUAUAAUUGAGUACAACAAAGUAUAUGUAUUUUUUGUAUUCAUAGAGUGGUUUUUCCCCUUUUCUUCUCAAUAAGAGACUGGUAGACAACCUUUACUACAAACCUGAUCUGAGGCAUGGUGCCAAUCAGACAUUGAAUAAACCAAAAUCUAUCAAAUAAAGCGUUUGAUUCAAGUAGGGAUAAAUUGGAGGGUAAAAACAACCAAAAGUCACCAUAAAUUUCUUGAAACUAAUAAACUUUGUAUUUAACUUCAUAUUUUGUAUAAAUUCGCUCAAAAUUAUACCAUGGAAAAACCUCAAAAUGUUUUACUUGCCUUUACUAGCAACACCUAUGGAUAUAAAGUAGUAUUAUCUAUUACCAGUGGCUCUGGUAUAUCUGGUCUGAUAUUCUCUACCAUGUCUUAAUUUUCCUGCUCCAGAUUUUGCCUCUCCUUCCUGCCAGCAGGAGCCCGUGUUCCCACCUUUGCCAACCACCUGACCUUUCACCUGCGUGUCUGCCUUUAAGCUUUUUUCCUCAGCCUGCCAGAGUUUUGGAUGUUAUGACCCCCUGAAUGCCUUAUGAAACCCUGCUCUUUAGUUUGGAUAAGCUGGCUUCAGUCUCUAAAGAAGACUGGCCUUAUUCUUUGAUUUUACCUCAGAAACCCAGUUUGGGGUUGAUUAGCUUGGCCUUUACAGAGACUCAACGAACUCUGAUGCUGUGUAUAAAAACUGGCAGUGCACACUAGUGAUGGUUUGACCAGACAGGCAAUUCCACUCUGACUGGCCCCAAAGAGAUCCCUGUCUACCACGAGCAUAUCAAUACAUCAACAAGCAGAUCUCACCCCGAGCCCAUCUUUCCAUCACUUCUGAUUGACUUGCUCCAAGUUCAGACUCUACACCUCUGAUUCAAGAAUUUUGUUUGCCUCACUCGAAGCUUGUGCCCUUCCUGGCCUCAACUGUUGUCCUUACUAAGAGAUACCGUGUGUUUACUAUCGUCAGAUUAGUAGGAGCCAAGGACUGGACUUUGCCUGAGAGGGGUUAAGAGGUCAACUGUACACUCUUCUGCAAAGAGGUGAACAACAAGCUGAAGAGGUUUUUAAGAGGUUUGAGGUAGCAUGUAUUGCGUGACAUCCAAGUCAAGGUAGAAGUCAAGUUGUUGUUUAUUUCAUUGCUGAGAGAACCAUCACCAGCUUGUCUUUUGUUCAAGUUAUGACAGUAUGCCUGAUCUCAUCGUACAGGUAUGAUCUAUCAGGUGUUUUUAUUCAGACUUGCACAACUUCUCUGAUCCCAUCAUCCCUAUCAGUCAGUCAGUCAGACAGUCAGUCAUCCUGCUGCCAAGGACGGUUUCGUUACCUUGCUGCUGAGGGCUUUUCCUACCACUGGCCAGGCUUGUCCAUGCAAGCAGGCACCUUCAAUGAAACUACCUCUGUCUGCCUGAGCAUAGCGAGAGAUAACCACAAAACUUCUACCUGAUCAAAGUACCGUAAAGGCAUGUCUCCCUGUCUGUGCAUCAACAACCAGGGUUUUCAACAACAACUUUUAAACCAAGUACCUGUUCCAGUCGUUUCCUCUCGGGGCCCUGAUUUUUUUCUAAGAUGGAGCUCAAGAUUGCUUCUCAUUUGGUUACAUUAAGAGGAGUAUGAGUGGAAGACUGUUUCCAACAUGACACACAGCCAGUCAAAUCAUCUGCUGUUGUUAUAAAUAUCAGUCCAAGUUUCCUGCAGUCAAGGACAACCCCAAAACAUGGUGACCAGGUGUACGUUUUGUAAGAGGGGAUAGCACUGAUUUAUUCCAGGACAUGUGAAAUAUAUGACAUGUAGGUCUGAUGUGUAUUUCUCGAAGGCUGAUGGAGAACCAGCAAUAAAUCCAGUCGAAGAACAUCCUUGACUUACAAGGAGUGUCCAGGUAGACCCAACCAAGGAAGGUACCCACAGUCCUCGCCAGUCUGCACAAGUAAUGGAUCCAGAACUAAGCAGAGUUUUUGUGACGGCCUCCUCAACAGCUUUACAGCUCCCUGCCUCAUAAACCCUGACUUCAUCUGCAAAUCUGUGAUGCAGGUCAAUGCCUAUGAUACAAGAGCGGGUGAGACUAAACCUUACCUCUGCAAAAACUAUCAAAGAAAUUCUCCUUUACACUCUAUACCCAACUGAGAGGAACUGAGACUAUGAGAAUGGUGAAAAAUUCUCUGUCAAGCAAGCACUGAGAGAGCACAGACACGGUUUGGACCAUUGCGGACCAAUCAUAAGAAGCAGGAACAAAGAAUAAACCCUGUAAAGCUUUGCACAUGGAUCACUUACCGGCUAGGUGAACUUCGUUUCUAAGACACUUUUCUUUUUUACACUGCUCAUGUUGCAUGAAAAUAAGCUGUAACUUUGUCUAAGCAUUAGGACUAACAUGAUAGUCCUAAUCCUCACCUGGUCCCAUGUCUCCUGAUAUUUUUUUGCCUUAACUGAAAAUCUGCUGAAAGACUGAAGAUCAGCCUCUUUAGAGACUCUGUGGAUCAGCCUACUAUAAAAACAUGUUGGACUAACAACAUCAUCCUUGACCCUUGUCAUCCAGUCUAUUACUAUCAAAUCUGAAACACAGUCUCACGGUGUAAUGAAGUCUGACUGAAGCGCUCUCAUUUCUUUUUUCAAACACCUGUCAGUGUUAAAAUUGAAUAUGUAGCUGAAUCCCUGAUCAUAAGUAUAACAAGGGCCUCUGAAUGUCUGAAAUGUUGUUUUUGAGUGUCUGUAUUUUUGCACCAUGUCUUCUAUGUCUCAAAAGUUUUUGCUAUGAUACCAGACAAAUUUAAACUCUGGAAAUAAAGUCGAUCACUGUGGACCUCUAUUCAUCUCUCAUUCUGGGAAAUAAGCUGCAAUGUCUAAGUUGCCUAAUGACUUAAUUAAAUCCAAAACUCAGUGGUGAGGCAGCAUGUGUGAACCAGGAGAUCAGCUCUCCUCCCACAACCCCUGUCCCUGGUCCCAGCAGCUGCUUUCAGUCGAGUUCACCCAAGACAUCAUUUUCCAGCCCUCUCCUACAGGUGUCCUCAUUUCAAUGCUCCUCCGCCCGCCAACUCACACUCCUCUCUCACAAAGGAUAGGGGGGCCGGCAUCUCCCCGGUCUCAGCCUUUGUACAUCUCCCCGCGUUCAUUUGUGGGACAGAGGUCUGGCAGACAUGUAACCUACUUCUGAGAAUAAAGUCCAGGAAAUCGGCUCCUUCAUCAUAACCAGAGGGAUCCAUCCAGUUCUAGUCUGUCUUCAAAUGUCCCACUGGACCCACCC
rnacentral:lncRNA from 1 species